ACAGACGGCGCGUAUCCCAGUGCUGGCGCCACCUUUAAGUCCAACGCAGGGAACGGGGAAAAACAGCUCUGGAUUUCUUGCUCGGCGGUAGUGCCGCUACCACCGCUGCGCCCUAGCGCCAGGCCUAAACCUGGAGCUUGUUCCGAGCGGUGCUCCAGCGUGCGGCGCCCCCUCGCCCGGCACCGGCCUCACCACCGCUCGGAACCUCACGGCGGAGCGGCGGGGGGGCGGGUCCUGCUCAGGCUUUUGGCGAUUGGAGCGCCCACCGUGGCUUCGGCCAGGCACUCCGGUCUCUGAGGCACCUGCCCUGGGAGCUCCAAAGGGAGGGCGAGGCCAGGGGUUUGAGACUGAGGCCUUGACACCAAAAAUCCGCUUCCUCGUUCUGAUGCCAGCAGGUUGCAGACCGUUAAUGCUGGAGCAAGAAUAUCACAGAUCUUUUCGGGCUGUUUGCCAAGCUGCCAUACAUAGAACUCCGGAGUAUCCUGCUAGAAAGACCACAUGGAGGAGGAGGCAACAGCCAGUAACCCCAGCUAACUACCAGGCACAUGUAUGGGGCCAUCUUGGACCAUCCAGUCCCAAUCAAGACCCAGAUGACAGCAUUGCAAAGAGUUUCCCACCUUAGGAUUCUGACCCCUGGAACUCCCUAGCGCCAUCAGAAUUAUGGCACGUGGAUUGCUGCUUCACAAUGAAAAGCACGAAAGGCAAUUAGAAAAAUUAAAGAAGACUUAACGGAGAGAAAUACCAAUUAAAGUUUGGUAAACGCAAAGUAUAUGAUGUCUGUUCUCUCUGAAUUAAUCUAUAAAUUCAGCACGAUGUCAAUCAAAAUCC